GACAGAGGAGCCAAGCGUUGUCCGGAUUGACUGGGCGUAAAGCGCACGCAGGCGGCCCGGCGCGUGGGGUGUGAAAGCUGGCGGCUUAACUGCCAGACGCCAUCCCAUACGGCUGGGCUCGAGCCCUGCAGAGGUCCAUGGAAUUGCCGGUGUAGUGGUGAAAUGCGUAGAGAUCGGCAGGAACACCCAGGGGGAAACCAGUGGACUGGGCAGGAGCUGACGCUCAGGUGCGAGAGCGUGGGGAGCGAACCGG
rnacentral:rRNA from 1 species